ACCUCAUCAAGAAUUAUGGAUUUGUGCAUAUGGACAACAAGGAAGCUGCAAAGGAGGCCAUUGAGAAUCUGCAUCACUACAAACUGCAUGGGGUCGCCAUCAAUGUGGAAGCCAGCAAGAGCAUGACCAAAUCCUCCACCAAACUCCAUGUGGGCAAAGUGAGCCCCAACUGCACCAGCCAGGAGCUGCAGGCUAAGUUUGAGGAGUACGGCACUGUGCUCGAGUGCGACAUCAUCAAAGAUUAUGCGUUUGUGCACAUGGAGAGGGGCGAGGAUGCCAUGGCAGCCAUCAAGGGGUUGGACGGCACAGAGUUCAAAGGCAAACGGAUUCAUGUUGAACUGUCUAAGAGUCGGCUGCGGGUACAGCCUGGGAUGGGCGAGAAGAACACCUGUUUCCGUUGUGGGAAAGAUGGCCAUUGGUCCAAAGAGUGCCCUGCAGAUCGACAGGAGAUGGGCAUUGGCUUUGCGCACGACUACCUUGACCCCUAUGCCAUGCACCACCGUUAUGGGGAGCAACCCUUUUACGACAGCAGGUAUGUCGAUUACUACGAGAAGUACCGAGCUGGGGCAUACGGAGCGGUGGGCACUCCAUACCCAGACCGUUGGGGUACGCCCAUGGCUGGCUACGGUGCUUCUAUGAGAGAACGCAUGCCCAAAGCAUUGGAGGCAUACAGCCAGAGCUCCAUAAGCCAACCACCGACCUAUUAUGCCCGGGAUCGGAGCCCUCUGCGGCGGCCGACUGCGUCGACGAUCACCGACUACGCCACUGCCGCGACUGAGUAUGCAGCUGCUGCAGCCGCUGCCGCUGCCACCAACUCUGACUAUGGGGCGGCCACCUCCACUGCCGAGUACACAGCCAGUGACUACGCUGCCGCUGCUGCUAGCUACGCCGCUCAAGACUAUGCUAGUGCUAACUACGCCACUGGCAACUACGCUGCUGCUACCACCACCGCCGACUAUGCCAGUGCCAACUAUAGCACGAGUGACUACGCUGCCGCCGCCGCCGCCUAUGCGUAUGACUACGGACAUACCAUGAGCAACAGUGGUGCCUACUCUACAGCGGGUACGACAGCAGAGGCCUUCGCGGAGCACUCUCAGUACUCUGCUUAUUAGCCACAAGGUGAGUGGAUCCUUUUUUAAGAUCACUAUAGUUUGGCUGCACGUUCUGAAACUGUAAUUGGGCAGCUUGUCAAUUCUGUGAAUUGGCCCCACCUUCCCUUCUCCGUAUUUUAACUUGUUGCAGUAAGGUUCCGGUUCUGAGAGUGGCGGUGUAGUGUUUCUGAGCGGGUUCUUGGAGCGCCGUUCCUGUUCUUUUUUUUUUGCGUGCGCGUGUUUUUUUUUCUUUUUUUAAUUUUCUCGUUUCUGAAGUGUUCUGUUGUUUUUGCUCUGUUGAGAAUGGUAGCUCGCGCGGUGUUGGUGCCUGCUUUCUCAUCCUCAGGUCCUUUCCAUGCACCAAUGGGUCUCUUCCUUCCGCUGCCUACCAGACUAGGAGGGAGAGGAGAGGCGAGCAGGUGGGGGGUGGAUGGAAGCUUUUCCUCCCGCCACACACGUCUACACUGUUGGAUCGUGCUCUUCCUUUGUGACAGCGUGCCUGUACGCGCGGCACCUCCCAUCGGCCUGGCUUCGGUUCCGAUUUCUGCCCCGGGUAAAUUUGCGUCCUGUUCGUUUUGUGCCUGUUGGAAACCCAGCUCCUGUUUCCCACCAGCGGAGCCAGUGGAAAAUAGCAACUCUCAGACUAGCUUCAGUCGCCAAUUUCGCCAUCGGCUGAGGCUCGAGGGAGAGAGAAAGACAGAGAGAGGGAGACGGAAGUGCAGAGUAUGCACGGAGCCAGAAUGUUAGCCGCACCACCGAAAACAGAAAUUUAAACUGACUGCUCCGUGGUGACGUGUGUAAGAAUCUGAUCGCAAUCUAAGGAGGACUCCAGUGGGAGGCUGCCGCGUUGUCAGCUCCGGGAGACAGGUGUUCCCGUUUUGUGUGCAGUUCCACAAAUCAUGUGUUUGCAUAGUUCCUCUAACAUAGUCGAACUUGCUUGAGCGUUUAACAAGGUCAAUCAAAAUUUAACAGGGAGCCACAGGUGGAGUUGCUACCACGGGUGACCAACGGUUUGGUCACAGAGCCAGGUUUUAAGUCAGGACUUUAAAGGAGAAUGGGAGGGAAGGGACUUCAUGAGCUCAGGCUCAAGGAUGACAAAAGCAGCGCAGUUAUGGAACAGUGGAAAUGGCGAGUGCGCAGGAGGCCAAAAUUGAGGGAGCGCCAAGAUCUUGAAGUUCACAGGACUGUAAGAGCCAAAACCCCUGAAGAAUUUGAGUACAGCCAUGAGAAUUUUAUAGUCUAGGCAUUGCCAAAAUGGGAGCCAAUCUAGGUUAGCAAGCAUGGGCAACAAAGGUUUGUGCACAUUAGGAUACUGACGGCAUGUUUUGAACUAACUGGAGUUUAAAGGGUGGGAUGUCAGCUAGGAGGAUGUUGGUUGCAAACGUUUUUGGACAUAAGACAUCUUCUGUUGACCGUGAACUUGACUAGUGAGUGUGCUUUUUGUGUAUUGAGUCAGGUUUAAUUCGUCAGCCCUGUCUCCCCAGGAGCUGUCACUGGUUAAAUGAUCAGAAGCAAAAAAACCAGAACUCUCCGUCCUCUUAAUAACCUGCAGCACAUAGAUAUAACCUUGUUUUCUCCCACACCAAAAUUUUGCUCACCAGUCUGGAUGAUAACUGAUCCUGGGUUACUAUUCUGCCAGGCCCCUGUGUACCACGCUGAAGUGGUAGACUCCAAAAACUGUACAGUCGAGAGUUGGAGCAGACAAGGCAGUGAAAUUUCGACGAAAUAAAAAUCAAUUUUUCUACCAUCUUUUCUUCUCCCUUCCACUCUCUUGUCUAUACCGUCACCCUUCCCCACCCUCCCUCCCCACCCCUCUUCCAGGUGUCAUACUGAUUUGUAUAUUAAAAAAAAGUCAGAGUAUUAGAGGUGGCAGUGACUGUUACCUGAGCUGCUCGCUUUUGCGAGUUGUGUGUACAUACUACUCCUGUGGCGGGCACCGUGUCUUUGAACAGUUUGUGAUGUGCUUCCUUUUGCAGGUUUGGUAAUACCCGUUGACGAGAACCGCGGUUUCCCCUGGUACACACACAAACUCGGGUCGUACGUUGUGCGGAUUACACUCACCGUCGGGAUUUAGCGCGGAGGACACCAGGGAAAAUGCUAUCUGUAUACCUAAAUAUUGAUGGUUCUCUUUUUUUUUUAUUAAAAACAAAAAAAGAAAUAAAUAGCAGCAAAACAUUUUCCCCCCCAAUUUCCCAAGAUGAUCUGUGACCAUUUUUUUUGCCUUUUUUUUGAAAGUUAUGUAUGUUGCAAUUUUUUUCCAAAGAAAGAGAAUAAAAAUCAUUUUUAGUUUUAUGUUACUUGUAACUGUAUUUUGUAAUGGUGGAACUCUCUCUAAUAUGGAGUUGUCCUCUAGUUUGAAGUUGAAUGUGGCCGUAAUUUUGCCACCCUUGUAGUACCCUGCAAUAAACGAUCAGUAUUUGACCUGA